rnacentral:rRNA from 1 species
AGUGAACGCUGGCGGUAGGCCUAACACAUGCAAGUCGAACGGCAGCACAGGAGAGCUUGCUCUCUGGGUGGCGAGUGGCGGACGGGUGAGGAAUACAUCGGAAUCUACUCUGUCGUGGGGGAUAACGUAGGGAAACUUACGCUAAUACCGCAUACGACCUACGGGUGAAAGCAGGGGAUCUUCGGACCUUGCACGAUUGAAUGAGCCGAUGUCGGAUUAGCUAGUUGGCGGGGUAAAGGCCCACCAAGGCGACGAUCCGUAGCUGGUCUGAGAGGAUGAUCAGCCACACUGGAACCGAGACACGGUCCAGACUCCUACGGGAGGCAGCAGUGGGGAAUAUUGGACAAUGGGCGCAAGCCUGAUCCAGCCAUACCGCGUGGGUGAAGAAGGCCUUCGGGUUGUAAAGCCCUUUUGUUGGGAAAGAAAUCCAGCUGGCUAAUACCCGGUUGGGAUGACGGUACCCAAAGAAUAAGCACCGGCUAACUUCGUGCCAGCCGCCGCCGUAA